CCUACGGGUGGCAGCAGUGAGGAAUAUUGGUCAAUGGGCGCGAGCCUGAACCAGCCAAGUAGCGUGAAGGAUGACUGCUCUAUGGGUUGUAAACUUCUUUUAUAAGGAAUUAAGUGACGCUCGCGUGCUCUUUCGUAUGUUCUCUAUGAAUAAGGAUCGGCUAACUCCGUGCCAGGAGCCGCGGUAAGACGGAGGUUCCGAGCGUUAACCGGAUUUAAUGGGUUUAAAGGGAGCGUAGGUGGGUUGUUAAGUCAGAUGUGAAAGUCUGCGGUUCAACCAUAGAACUGCAAUUGAUACUGGCAGCCUAGAGUACAGUUGAGGUAGGCGGAAUUCGUGGUGUAGCGGUGAAAUGCUUAGAGAUCACGAAGAACUCCGAUUGCGAAGGCAGCCUACUAAGCUACCACUGACGUUGAUGCACGAAAGCGUGGGUAGCAAACAGGAUUAGAUACCCGAGUAGUC
rnacentral:rRNA from 1 species